GGUAUCUUAUCGAGGAUUGUAUAAAUAGUUUAUAUCUCUUUGAAUUAUUUACAUGUUUUUGUCAAGAUAUGCAAUAAUUCUAUUCCUGGUUGGUACGUUAAUGACUUUCGAUUAUGUAUUUAUUUUAUUUUAGUUAAUAUUUUUAUUAUCCAUCCUUAGAAUACCAUUGAUCUAUGUUGUGAAUAGUUUUGUUAGUAUUUACAUCGUUAUCAAGCUGUAUACAUUAAGUAAUUGAAGCACAUUUUUGGGUAGGGCGAGGGACCCUUCUCUGUACGUUCAUUGUCCCUCUUGUGGGAUGUUUUUGGGCCCCACCUUCUGCUGCAUUCUGAUAUUGUAAAAUCUGUAAUCUCAUUUGGCAUUUGAAAUAAAUGCUCUAUACACACACACACCCUCUUUAUUAUUUAACAUGCUGCAGAACAGAGCUGCAAAUGUGCUUCAGGUUCACAUGAACCGAAUUGUUCAUCAGUUUCAGUAUUUAAGGGCACAUAAGUGUAUUUAUGUAUAUAAAGGAAUUUAUGUGAUCUAAAUACGUAAUAAAUUGCAUAUUUUUAUUAAUUACCAAUUUGUUUGAAUUCAUGGGUCCCGAAGGAUUUUCCGGGUUUUAUACUUAAGCGUCCUCUAGUAACGGCUAUUAGCCUUAUCCUUAUCAGAAUAACAUUUCGGCUCCAAAAUGUGGUUUACAAAUUUUACCCACCACCACCCCUUCAAUCCUCCAUAAUUAUUGUUAUUGUAGAAAAUACAUGUACUAGUUUCUUUUAUAUAAGGUGCCUAUUGUUAUUGCAUGACUUUUGUACUUAUUGUUAAUUUUGUAGAAAAUAUAUGUACUAGUUUUCUUUUGUAUAAGGUGUGGGAUGUUUUUGGGCCCCACCUUCUGCUGCAUUCUGAUAUUGUAAAAUCUGUAAUCUCAUUUGGCAUUUGUAAUAAAUGCUCUAUACACACACA